CAGGUGCAGAGCUCGCACCUUCAGGGCACUCAGGUGCGCUGCCUUUGUUUGGAGGAUAAACAGUAGAGGUGUGGGUCCUGCUUCCCUGGGCCUACACAGCAGAGCAGCCUCCAAUGCUCUGCUGACCCCUGGGACUCAGGCUCUCUGUGCGCUGGGAUACGGUUAUUUUCCUGGUGCUUGUUCUCUGCAGGGCCGGCCCUGACCCCCAUCUCUCGCAAGAAUUGUAUGGAUGCCCAUUUCCAGAUACUUGUUCAGCAACCCUCAAACCAGAUGCACGUCUGUCUUUGGGUCAGUAAUCUGUACCCUGAAUCGGCAAUCAGAGCGUCACGACAGAACUGUGUAUCAACACCACUAGUCUAUUUUUCCUGUUCAUCAAAGUUCCUCAUUAACGAUCAGAAAACAUGGACCAUGUAAAGUGGCCCAUGCUAUCUCUACUGACGAAGGAAACCCUUGCACAAACCAGGAAGCGUGGAGAAGACAGGAGACAGAGGGAUCCACCAGGAAGGGCGGAAAUGCAGCUUCAACACCCUCCCCUCAGGUCAAUUUGAAAUUCUGGAUUCGGCAUCUACUGACCCAAGGGAGUGCACGUGGCAUCCUGUGUGCAGCACCUUCGGACCCAGCUGUGGUAGAACCUGGCACAGCCAGUGGGCCCUGUCACGGUGGCCUGGAGGAGCCCCAGAGGACAGCGACAGGAACCAGGACCCUGGCAGGGUUUAUUUUCCAGUUUCUGGGUAAAGAGGAAAGAACUGAGACUAGGAAUAGAACCUGGAAACCAGCUGCACAUGCAGGUAGAGUCUGGCUGGGGCCCCCACAUGGAUCGCGAUACGUGGGCCACCCUCACAGCAUGACUGAGCUCAAGCCACAUCCGUGCUCCCAGCCACUGCCUGAGCUGGGACCCACUGCCCUCUGCCCCCAUGCUGCUUCCACAGGCAUGUGCAGCCUUGGAUGUGGGCCAGGGCCGGGCAGGGGAUGCUCUGACAGGACAGUUUGGAUAGAUGAAGGUGAAGGGCAUAGAAGCCCUUACUGCAUUCAAGAUGCUAAUUACACUUGCCCAUUUAGUUUUUAGUCAAAAUCAAUUUUUUACUCUCAUUUUCAUUUUAUGCAUGUUGUCAUAAGUGGGAAAAAAGACUGUCUUGUCAGAAUGAUUGAAUCUUCCAUGAAAUGAAAGCCAUUUCCUGAAUACUGUCCAUUCAAGAGAAUAAAAAGGAAGGAGAGUGCCAUGAGCUUCAGAAACUUGGCCUUUACAGUUAUGGCAAUUGGAACACUUCUACCAAUCUGUAUGUUUUCUUAUUUCUGAAAAUUGUGUAAGUAAUAUAAGACCAAUAAUGCUGGCAAAUCUAUUGCAGUCUGAUAAUUUGCAUUGCAGUGUGACAUUGGAAGACAGAGAAUCCCUGCCUAAAAUUUACAUAAUCACAACUAUUCAACAAGCUAAUUCUCAACACAAAGACAAUUUAGAAAAUGUAAAAAAUUAAUGUCUGUAUUAUUUUAAGCCCCACUAUUUCUGCUUUGUAAAACAUAAAGACAUGCUGUUUCCUGGGAAGUUAUGUAAACAGAUCAAAUAUUUAAGUAUUUGAUUACUAUUAAAUAUCUGGGUGAUAUGGUUUCACUGUGUCCCUACCUAAAUCUCAACUUGAAUUGUAUCUCCCAGAAUUCCCACAUGUGUUGGGAGGGACCCAGAGGGAGGUAGUAGAAUCAUGGGGGCCAGUCUUUCCCAUGCUAUUUGGGUGAUAGUGAAUAAGUCUCACGAGAUCUAAUGGGUUUGUCAGGGGGUUCAGCUUUUGCUUCUUCCUCAUUUUUACUUUC
rnacentral:lncRNA from 1 species